AGGGCGCAUGCGUAAUGAGCCUGGCGCGCGUCAGCGGCGACGCGGGAACGAACGUUCGGUGAGACGGCGCGGAGGGGGCUGGGUUUCGACGCCCUGGAUUUCUGCUCGUUUUCCAGGAGUUCCUUGAGGUGGGAGCGCGAGCCGCCGAGGGAGCCGCGACUGAAGCCUUCCCCGAGCCCAGAGCUGGCCUUGCCAAAUGAAGCUCAGGGAAUCUGCUUCUGGAACACUCCCCAGAGUCAAGAACAAAGUGCUGGAGGCCACUGCUUCUCCUCGGAGCCUCGCAGGGCAGGAGCCCGGCCAGUUGGUUUGGGGGCAGGACUCUUGCAUGGAGCUAACCAAGUGCAAUGAGUUACAGCGGAUCUGGAUCCGGAGUGUUCAAAGUUCAAGGGCUGUGCAAGUCCUCAGGAUUCAUUUAGCCCAGAGAAGAGUGUUGACUUUG